rnacentral:rRNA from 1 species
UACGUAGGGUGCAAGCGUUGUCCGGAAUUAUUGGGCGUAAAGAGCUCGUAGGCGGUCUGUCGCGUCUGCUGUGAAAACUCAAGGCUUAACCCUGAGCUUGCAGUGGGUACGGGCAGACUAGAGUGCGGUAGGGGAGACUGGAAUUCCUGGUGUAGCGGUGAAAUGCGCAGAUAUCAGGAGGAACACCGGUGGCGAAGGCGGGUCUCUGGGCCGUAACUGACGCUGAGGAGCGAAAGCAUGGGGAGCGAACAGG